rnacentral:lncRNA from 1 species
CCUCGCCAGCGGCGCACGGGGACAUGAGCGGCGCGCGCGGGCUCCAGCGCCCGGCGGCCAGCCCCAGCCCGCGGCGGCCAGCGGGUCGGCGCUGCCCGGGAGAAUGAGGCAGGAGCCCGCGGCAGCCUCCUCCUCCUCCUCCUCCUCCUGCUGCUGCUGCUGCUGCUCUUCGCCUUCCUCCGGCUCCGGCGCCCCGGGCCCCGGCCGGGCUGUGGCUCUGCUGCGUGCCCCGCGCGCCCCCCGCCCGCCUCCGGAUGCGCUGCUCGCUCUGAAGACUCUGCUGUAGAACUUGGGAUUCUGAAGUUCUAAGAUUGCUUCAUUAUUAAAGAGAUGUGUGAACUCAGCUUCAGUGGAGCGCUCUGGGCUGGUGUUGGCUGGGCCACCAGAACUGGGCAACAGUUCUUUUCUAUCCCACCUCCCUCUGGAAAACUCAGCGGGUAAGUACAUUGACUUGGGUAUUUAAG